CGGUGGAGCAUGUGGUUUAAUUCGAAGCAACGCGAAGAACCUUACCAGGCCUUGACAUGCAGAGAACUUUCCAGAGAUGGAUUGGUGCCUUCGGGAACUCUGACACAGGUGCUGCACGGCUGUCGUCAGCUCGUGUCGUGAGAUGUUGGGUUAAGUCCCGUAACGAGCGCAACCCUUGUCCUUAGUUACCAGCACGUUAUGGUGGGCACUCUAAGGAGACUGCCGGUGACAAACCGGAGGAAGGUGGGGAUGACGUCAAGUCAUCAUGGCCCUUACGGCCUGGGCUACACACGUGCUACAAUGGUCGGUACAAAGGGUUGCCAAGCCGCGAGGUGGAGCUAAUCCCAUAAAACCGAUCGUAGUCCGGAUCGCAGUCUGCAACUCGACUGCGUGAAGUCGGAAUCGCUAGUAAUCGUGAAUCAGAAUGUCACGGUGAAUACGUUCCCGGGCCUU
rnacentral:rRNA from 1 species